rnacentral:rRNA from 1 species
GUUUGAUCCUGGCUCAGGAUGAAUGCUGGCGGCGUGCCUAACACAUGCAAGUCGAGCGGUAACAUGUUUCUCACCUUGGUCCUAACUGUUUAGUUGGUGCCAAAGUGAGAAAUGAUGACGAGCGGCGGACGGCUGAGUAACGCGUGGGAACAUGCCCCAAAGUGAGGGAUAAGCACCAGAAAUGGUGUCUAAUACCGCAUAUGAUCUUCGGAUUAAAGGAUUUAUCCGCUUUGGGAGUGGCCUGCGUACGAUUAGAUAGUUGGUGAGGUAAUGGCUUACCAAGUCUACGAUCGUUAGCUGGUCUGAGAGGAUGACCAGCCAGACUGGAACUGAGACACGGUCCAGACUCCUACGGGAGGCAGCAGUGAGGAAUCUUCCACAAUGGGCGAAAGCCUGAUGGAGCAACGCCGCGUGCAGGAUGAAGGCCCUCGGGUCGUAAACUGCUUUUAUAAGUGAAGAAUAUGACGGUAACUUAUGAAUAAGCACCGGCUAACUACGUGCCAGCAGCCGCGGUCAUACGUAGGGUGCAAGCAUUAUCCGGAGUGACUGGGCGUAAAGAGUUGCGUAGGUGGACAAGUAAGCGAAUAGUGAAAUCCAACGGCUCAACCGUAUGGACUAUUACUCGAACUGCUUGUCUCGAGAAUGGUAGAGGUAACUGGAAUUUCUAGUGUAGGAGUGAAAUCCGUAGAUAUUAGAAGGAACACCAAUGGCGUAGGCAGGUUACUGGACCAUUUCUGACACUGAGGCACGAAAGCGUGGGGAGCGAACCGGAUUAGAUACCCGGGUAGUCCACGCCGUAAACUAUGGAUACUAGCUGUUGGGGGUAUCGACCCCCCCAGUAGCGAAGCUAACGCGUUAAGUAUCCCGCCUGUGGAGUACGGUCGCAAGACUAAAACAUAAAGGAAUUGACGGGGAGCCGCACAAGCGGUGGAUUAUGUUCUUUAAUUCGAUGAUAACCGAAGAACCUUACCAGGGUUUGAAAUCCCAAGAAUUUUGUCGAAAGACGAGAGUGCUUUAUUGAAUUUGGUGACAGGUGCUGCAUGGCUGUCGUCAGCUCGUG